rnacentral:misc_RNA from 1 species
CCAAAACAAGUUGUGUGGCAACCAGGAACACACAAUUUUGCUGUCGGAGGAGAGUGUGGACAGGUCGUCGUCAAGGAUACCAGGAAGGCUGUAGGAGCUACAUUGUCUUUCAGCUGCCAUUCCCGGGCAGUCACAAAGUUAUCAUUUUGUCAAGAAAAUCCCCGCCUGUUGGCCUCAGCGUCCGAGGACUGUACAGCCGUUGUCAUGUCUGUGGACAAGGAUGCAGGCCGCCAGAUCUUCAAAGACACUUCCCAUACAGACUUUGUUAGCAGUCUAAGUUGGCAAGGAAACGAUAAUCUCUUCACCUGUGGUUGGGACUCGAAAGUGAAAAAUCACUGUGUAUCAAAAAGUGAACAAACUUGUGAAGACUGUGUGACGGUUCAGAUGGAAACGGACUGUAUAGACAAGGAGACUGUUAAAAAGAAGAUCGCCAACAUUUCACUGGUCUGCAAUGGGAACGGUGCUGGGUUGGAAUCCACCUGAUGUGCAUCUACCUCGAUUAGAUACAUACCUGAUGUCCUUGUGUUCUGCGACAGUUUAUAGAUUGUGUACAACUCCUCUGCUAGCCAAAAUAAAGAUCUCCAGUGGCCAUCUGUAAAACUCAAAAAAGACCACUCUUGUUGUUGGUACUUUUUGUUGUUUUCAGACAUUUUUUUUUUGCAAGAGUUGUGUCACCUUUGCAUUUUUUACUGUAGAGGGCAUUUGCUAAUAACAGAGAUUGAAAGUAAAGGUUGUCGAGUCUUUACAAUUUAUUUAGUUUUUCAUAUUUCUUAAGAUCACUUAAGAAGAAAGAUCACCAUUAUCGAACUUUAGUUGAAAAAAAAAAUCAUGCAAUCGUAAAAAUAAACCAUUUGGAAGUUG